UCCAAAAAAGGCGCCAUAGUUUAUAGCCGUCGGCGCAAUCUCUCCCGGUCCAACAGCCCACAUUCAUUAAAUUCAAACUUAUACAAACCCUAUGUGACCGUUGAGGAAUCCUCUGUCUUCUCUCCUUUUCCUUUUCAUCAAUUCCACCCUUUCUCUCUUCUUCUAACUGUUCGAUCUGCAAAACGUCGUCGCUUUUCCAAUCGCAUUGCUCUCAGAUCACAGGGCUUUGUUCAAUUUCUGAAUAAGGAAAAAGUUGAACUGAAUCGGGGCAAGAUGGAUGAGAAUGAUGUUUCCAUGGAAAUCCAAGAAAUUUCUUUGGAUCAUAACCAGACUUCCAGUUUCUCAGAAAAUUGAUGAGUUGAGCACCGAGACUCAGACUGUGAAGGGGCACACAAUUUUAUGUAAUGAAGUGAAGAGCAUUAAUGCAGAUUCCUCUCCCAGGCCUGAAGUUUACGAUGCUCUUCUGUUUCUCGGUAUUGAGUAUGAAAAUUUGUAGAAGAAACAUUUGGAAGAGAGUUAGCUUCUGAAGAAGAAGUACCUUGAAGAGUGCUCGGAACAGAAGCGGCUGUACAAUGAAGUUAUUUAACUCAAAGGCAACAUCAGGGUCUUCUGCAGAUGUAGACCCUUAAAUCAAGCUGAAAUGGCUAAUGGAUCUACUUCUAUAGUUGAUUUUGAGUCAUCUCGAGAAAAUGAGCUUCAAAUCAUUUGCUUUGAUUCUUCAAAGAAGCAAUUUAAGUUCGACCAUGUGUUCAGGCCUGGGAGUGACCAAGAGGCUGUUUUUGCACAAACUUCACCAAUUGUGACUUCCGUGCUGGAUGGGUACAAUGUCUGUAUAUUUGCCUAUGGACAAACUGGAACUGGAAAGACCUUUACAAUGGAAGGAACUCCAGAAAAUAGGGGAGUCAACUACAGGACUCUGGAGGAGUUGUUCCGAAUUUCAAGGGAGAGAAGCAACAUAAUAAAUUAUGAAUUGUUUGUUAGCAUGUUGGAGGUUUACAAUAAGAAGAUAAGGGACCUUUUGGUAGAAAAAUCGAACCAGCCUCCUAAGAAGAUUCUUUAUGAGGUCAUGAGGAGAUCACGUGGAAAGCAUUGGAGGGAAGAAAAGGCUUUAGUUCUCAAUCAUGAAGACUUUUCAAGAAGAUUGAGAUAAGUUUGCUGAAUUUUAAUCUUGGUUUUGCUCCCUUUCUUUUAUUAACUCUCUUUGGUUUUAAUUAUUCUAGAUUAGGAUUGGGUGUGGACAAACCAGGCCACACAUGAGUGUUGCUAGAAUCCAUUGUUUAGGUCAAUGUGUGAAUGAUCUUUGUUGUUUCAUGGUUUAGAAUGGAAUUUUGAUUUGAUUUAACCUAAGUUUUUACCUAAAAAGCCGUUUGAUAAUCCUAUGAUAAUUGGCUUUGAAAUCAUCAUUUUUAUUUUGAUUUAUGAGGAUUUUAUGUAUUUUUGUUUAGUUAAUUCUUGGGAAUCCACAUUUCAUAAUUCACAUACAUGCAUGUUACUUAAAUAGGAAAUUGUAUGAUUUAAUUGGAUACUCACUUAGGGCUCUUUAGGCAUUUAUUUUAGCGUUUAAUUCAGGCAUAAUUAAUCAUCUAUACAGCUGUAAAUUUGUUCCAUGUGUUAGAUUAUAAUUAGCUUAUGUUUAGAACUCUUUUUCUCUAUGAUUUGAUAUACAUAUAACAUUUAAAUUGUUGAUCUUAUAUUGGUUUUAUUUAAACCUUUAUUUAGAAGUCUUUCGAUUUUGGGAUUUGGAAUCAAAAUAGGACACAAUAAACCACUUAAAUGGCUGCAGGUUUAGUUCGUACAAUAAGUAAUAAUUCAUACAUCGGAUCGCCUAAUUCUGGCACACAAAGACACAGACACACAUAGGCACACACACUUGUCUUUAGGUGCUUUCUAGUGGUUCUCGAUUCCCAUGUGUUUUAAUGAUUUUCGAUUCUCCUAAAACAAAAUGAGUUCUCAAAGUUCUAUAUUUAAAUUAAUCUUAGAUCAAUUAGGUAAUGAAAAGUUUACUUUCUAAAAGACAAUGCUACAUAUUUUAUUCGGUAUGCAACUUUCAAAAGUUUUAACAAUGAGUUAUGGUUUUGAAUAAACACAAAUUAAAUUCAUAACUCCAAUCAAUGGAGUUUAUAUGGAUGAAUUCGUGGAAAUUAAAAUGGGAUUUGAUGGAUCCCUACAUACAGAGUUUUCCAAAAUAUGGUUAAUAACUAACAUUGUUGAUAGUUCAUUAUACCCUUGAACUUGUAAAUUUGAAUAUGACCAUUUAGAAACUCUUUAAAAUUUUUCUAAUUAUUCCAUGGUGUUGUAAACUUCUUGAAUUUGAUUUUAGGAUUUUGUUUGAGGCAAAAAUAAUAACCCAAUUAGAAGAUAUAAAUCAAUCUUUUAGUGAUGAGGAUUUUAGUAUAUGUUAUGACAUUGUUGCCUGUGAACUAAUCUUCUUGUUUUAUGGAAGCGCUAAACAAACUAUAAAGGUACGUUCUUCACUUUUUAUGAUUAUUGCUUAUUGAGAGUGCAUGUUUUAACAUAUACUUUGAUCCUUGGUUUCCAUUGAUUUACCCAUUAAUUGUCAUAAUUACUUCAACUUACUUAGUAGAGACUUAGCUUUUAGGGCUUAGAGGGGUGCUAUGGUUGUUCGCCGUACUUUCCUAAUAAGUAACUUGAUCCUCGGGCCCAACCUGGUUUUCACCAUGGUUGAAAAUUUCAGAAAAAAUCGAGGAAAUUUCAUCAAAAUUUCGUGUUUCAGCGAGGAGUGAUACAAAAAAUGGGAAGUAAUAAUCGGAAAAAAUUGACGAUUUUCACUGAAAAAUCGUUGAAAUAUUGGAUUUUUACUGAUUUAUCGAUGUUUUUACCGAUAUUUCGGUUCAAUUAGCGCGCAGUGGCUUGGUCAACGUGCGGUCAAACGGUCAAACCCUCCAAAAUAUCAAAUUGCUGUGCAGGCGCUAGGGCUCGAACUUGAGCCCAAACCAAAACCAAACAGCCCUGGUCGACCACUAGUAUAACUUGCCAUUUGUUAAAAUAUGAGCACCAGAUAAAUUUAUAGUAUAACUAUCA